rnacentral:rRNA from 1 species
ACGGCUCAGUAACACGUGGACAACCUGCCCUUAGGACGGGGAUAAACCCGGGAAACUGGGUAUAAUACCCGAUAGGUCUCGAUUGCUGGAAUGCAUCGAGAUUUAAAGCUCCGGCGCCUAAGGAUGGGUCUGCGGCCUAUCAGGUAGUAGUGGGUGUAGCGUACCUACUAGCCUACGACGGGUACGGGUUGUGAGAGCAAGAGCCCGGAGAUGGAUUCUGAGACACGAAUCCAGGCCCUACGGGGUGCAGCUGGCGCGAAAACUUUACAAUGCUGGCAACAGCGAUAAGGGAACCUCGAGUGCCAGGUUACAAAUCUGGCUGUCGAGAUGCCUAAAAAGCAUUUCAUAGCAAGGGCCGGGCAAGACCGGUGCCAGCCGCCGCGGUAACACCGGCGGCUCGAGUGGUAACCGUUAUUAUUGGGUCUAAAGGGUCUGUAGCCGGCCGGAUAAGUCUCUUGAGAAAUCUGGCAGCUUAACUGUCAGGCUUUCAGGAGAUACUGUCUGGCUCGAGGCCGGGAGAGGUGAGAGGUACUUCAGGGGUAGGGGUGAAAUCUUGUAAUCCUUGAAGGACCACCAGUGGCGAAGGCGUCUCACCAGAACGGACCUGACGGCAAGGGACGAAAGCUAGGGGCACGAACCGGAUUAGAUACCCGGGUAGUCCUAGCCGUAAACGAUACUCGCUAGGUGUCGGCCACGGUGCGACCGUUGUCGGUGCCGUAGGGAAGCCGUGAAGCGAGCCACCUGGGAAGUACGGCCGCAAGGCUGAAACUUAAAGGAAUUGGCGGGGGAGCAC